UUUGCUCUCCCACUACAAGGAGGCACGGAGCGGACUCGGAGAGCCUCGAGCUUGAAAGUUUAGUUGAAAAACACAACAAGCAUUACAUAGUCGUCAAAUUGCCACUUAGCAGCGCACAUUUUAAAUAUUUCGGACACGUAUGACCAUAACCUUCAAAUAGUACCGGUUUGGCAAAAUUUUGUGUUGAUUUGUUUGGAAAUUAAACACGUGUUACUUUUGCUUUUACAUUUUAAACUUUCAUUUACGUGUAGUGUGGAUGUUGAUGAAUAAAUUUUGAAUUCAACGUAUUCAUUUGUGUUUAUAACGAAUAAGCAAAUUCGAUAACGGAAACGAUCGAUACUUAAUGAUAAAUCGAACCGGACCGGUCCCAAUGCAUCUCUGGUGAAGGCCGCUAGAGCUAACCUCUACACAGGACAAUCCUGCGCAGGGACCCACGCACACUAGCGCAGUUUCUUGUGAAUACAACCAACCACAUUCUAAAGAGCUGUCCGUGAGACGAACGUUGUUACAAAAUAGAGAUUUUUGUUACCUGGUUCUUGCGACGCCGUAUAAUUGGCAUUUUUUUGAGGUGUUAUGUCUAUAAAUAUUACUUUGUCUACUUAGAUGGGCAGGUGUACUUGUUUUUUAGAUUUUAUAUUAAGAACAAGGUUUGCGGAUCCUUAUAAUCCUAAAGGUUCUAAAGGCUCUAGAUCUCAAAUGAAAGUUAGAUUUAUUAAUGAUAGUGUUUCUUGUAUGUCUGAAGGAAGUAUGUUUUAAGUAAUGACCAGACAUAAGCUAGACGUUGUAUUCUCUAGUGCGGAACAUAGGAAAAGGAAAUCCGCAUGGUACUGCCAGGAGACACGCGAUUGUUUUGUGCGGUUAACCGAACGCCACUGGCCAUUUAUUGUCUUGGUUUACAAAGAAAACUUUGAUUUUGUGUUACAAAUAAAGAUUUUUGCAAUAAUAAGUAAGGUGCAAUACAACGGUUCUGUGCCCUAAUUUCAUUUUGAUUUGUGAUUCUACUGGAAUAAUAACCCGCAUUGAGCAAUCGUGGUGAUUAAUGCUCAAACCUUCUCCGUGUGAGAAGAGGCUUUUGGUCAGCAGUGGUCACUUAUAAGCUGAUCAUGUUGAUGGAAUAAUCAACGACUCAUAACAAAAACAAAGAAGGUUUUAUUUAAGUUAUACCUAUACGAUCUCAAGAGCAGAAGAUAAUUAUCAAAAAAGAAAAACUAACAUAUCAACAAUCAUAAUAUACAUUUCAAAGAGGUGUGACACAAGAUGUCAUGUCACGACAAGAAUUACUUUUUAUAGUUACAUUCUCCGCUGCAGCGUCAUGCGUUGCUACAAUUAUAGACAAAACUAGGGGCACCAGACGCCGGCCAUGAUGGUUUCCACAACAGGAGAUCGAAGACCAAAUGGCCAACAACGCCAUCAACGCUAAUAACAUCAGUAACUCACCAGAACCACUAAUUUGGACAAUCAAAAAUUCGCUGGCCAAAGAAACUUUCCAAAAUGUGGGACGGAAUCAAACCGACUCGUCUCUAUCGGUUAACAGGGAUCGUACACAAUCGGAACAUGAUACGAGCUCGUUUGACUGCGAACAUGGAAAGAUGCUAUGCGCCCAGACCAAGAGAAUGUUUAUUCAAUUUUAUUGGCGUCAUCCUUGCGAGCGCAACAGGAGCCGCGUACGCAUUUGGAAUUUUCAGUAAACCAUACGAUUGCUCACAAGAAGAAAUUGAAAGCGAGAUGACUUGCCACUCGGAUCCUUGCCCUCCUGAAGUACCUCCCCCAAAACCAAAAACUUGUCCACGUAAAACAGCUAAAUAAAAUCAGCAACUUAACAA